rnacentral:rRNA from 1 species
UGGAGCUGAAGUCAGUCGAAGAUACCAGCUGGCUGCAACUGUUUAUUAAAAACACAGCACUGUGCAAACACGAAAGUGGACGUAUACGGUGUGACGCCUGCCCGGUGCCGGAAGGUUAAUUGAUGGGGUCAGCGCAAGCGAAGCUCCUGAUCGAAGCCCCGGUAAACGGCGGCCGUAACUAUAACGGUCCUAAGGUAGCGAAAUUCCUUGUCGGGUAAGUUCCGACCUGCACGAAUGGCGUAAUGAUGGCCAGGCUGUCUCCACCCGAGACUCAGUGAAAUUGAACUCGCUGUGAAGAUGCAGUGUACCCGCGGCAAGACGGAAAGACCCCGUGAACCUUUACUAUAGCUUGACACUGAACAUUGAGCCUUGAUGUGUAGGAUAGGUGGGAGGCUUUGAAGUGUGGACGCCAGUCUGCAUGGAGCCGGCCUUGAAAUACCACCCUUUAAUGUUUGAUGUUCUAACGUGGACCCGUGAUCCGGGUUGCGGACAGUGUCUGGUGGGUAGUUUGACUGGGGCGGUCUCCUCCUAAAGAGUAACGGAGGAGCACGAAGGUUGGCUAAUCCUGGUCGGACAUCAGGAGGUUAGUGCAAUGGCAUAAGCCAGCUUGACUGCGAGCGUGACGGCGCGAGCAGGUGCGAAAGCAGGUCAUAGUGAUCCGGUGGUUCUGAAUGGAAGGGCCAUCGCUCAACGGAUAAAAGGUACUCCGGGGAUAACAGGCUGAUACCGCCCAAGAGUUCAUAUCGACGGCGGUGUUUGGCACCUCGAUGUCGGCUCAUCACAUCCUGGGGCUGAAGUAGGUCCCAAGGGUAUGGCUGUUCGCCAUUUAAAGUGGUACGCGAGCUGGGUUUAGAACGUCGUGAGACAGUUCGGUCCCUAUCUGCCGUGGGCGCUGGAGAACUGAGGGGGGCUGCUCCUAGUACGAGAGGACCGGAGUGGACGCAUCACUGGUGUUCGGGUUGUCAUGCCAAUGGCACUGCCCGGUAGCUAAAUGCGGAAGAGAUAAGUGCUGAAAGCAUCUAAGCACGAAACUUGCCCCGAGAUGAGUUCUCCCUGAGACUUUAGGUCUCCUGAAGGAACGUUGAAGACGACGACGUUGAUAGGCCGGGUGUGUAAGCGCAGCGAUGCGUUGAGCUAACCGGUACUAAUGAACCGUGAGGCUUAACCUUACAACGCCGAAG